rnacentral:rRNA from 1 species
UGAAUGCUGGCGGUGUGCCUAAUACAUGCAAGUCGUGCGGAAAGGCCCUUUCGGGGGUACUCGAGCGGCGGACGGCUGAGUAACGCGUAGGAAUGUACCCCAAACUGAGGGAUAAUCCACCGAAAGGUGGACUAAUACCGCAUGUGCUCUUCGGAGUAAAGCUUCGGCGGUUUGGGAACAGCCUGCGUCCGAUUAGGUAGUUGGUGAGGUAAUAGCUCACCAAGCCUACGAUCGGUAGCUGGUCUGAGAGGAUGAUCAGCCAGACUGGGGACUGAGACACGGCCCAGACUCCGUACGGGAGGCAGCAGUGGGGUAAACUUUUCCACAAUGGGGCGAAAGCCUGAUGGAGCAACACCGCGUGCAGGAUGAAGGCUUUCGGGUCGUAAACUGCUUUUACUAGUGACGAAUAUGACGGUAACUAGAGAAUAAGGAUCGGCUAACUACGUGCCUGCAG